rnacentral:rRNA from 1 species
GAUGAACGCUGGCGGCGUGCCUAAUACAUGCAAGUCGAACGCUGGAGAUCUAGCUUGCUAGAUCGAAGGAGUGGCGAACGGGUGAGUAAUACAUAAGCAACCUACCCACGAAGACUGGGAUAAUCUCUGGAAACGGGGACUAAUACCGGAUAGGUAAUCGGAAGGCAUCUUCUGGUUAUUAAAGGUUAAAAACACUGGUGGAUGGGCUUAUGGCGCAUUAGUUAGUUGGUGAGGUAACGGCCCACCAAGACGAUGAUGCGUAGCCGGCCUGAGAGGGUGAACGGCCACAUUGGGACUGGGACACGGCCCAGACUCCUACGGGCGGCAGCAGUAGGGAAGGUUCGGCAAUGGGGGCAACCCUGACCGAGCGACGCCGCGUGAGUGAAGACGGCCUUCGGGGUGUAAAGCUCUGUUGUAAGGGAAGAACGGUAGAUAGAGAAUAUCUAAGUGACGGUACCUUACCAGAAAGCCACGGCUAACUACGUG